ensembl:lncRNA
CUACACUUUUAUUGUUAUCAUCAUCAUCAUCAUCGUCUCUUAAAUUUCUGCUACUUCUUUGAAUCAGAGGAAUUAUUUCUGGUGCUACUUGACCUUAGUAUUAGACAGGCCAAAAGUUCAUUUGGUUUUAUUCUGUAGAUGUCUCUAGUAGUGCCUCUCUUUAACGUCAUUCAAAACAGUUUUCAAUGUUUUCGGUGAAUUAUGCUUUCUUGUUUCAAGAAAGGUAACUUGAAAAUGCAACUGAAACGCAAAAAAAAAAAAAAAAAAAAAAAAGAUUUGUGCAGUGUAUGGAGAAGGUACUGUGACUGAUUGCACUUCUUAAAAGUGGUUUGUGAAAUUUCAUGCUAGAAAUUUCUUGCUGGAUGUUGCUCCAUAGCCGAGUAGACCAGUUGGAGUUGAUAGAGAUCAAAUUGAGACAUUAGUUGAGACCAGGCAGUGUUAUACCACCUGGGAAAUAGCCAACAUACUCAAAAUAUCCCAGUCAAGCAUUGAAAAUCAUUUGUACCAGCUUGGUUAUGUUAAUCACUUUGCUGUUUGGGUUCCACAUAAAUGAAAAAAACCGAAAAAACAAAACCAUCUUGACUUUGUUUCUGCAUGGCAAUUCUCUACUUAAAUGUAAGGAAAAUGUUUCAUUUUUAAAACAAUUUGUGAUGGGCCAUGAAAAGUGGAUACUGUACAGUUAUGUGAAAUGGAAGAGAUUGUGGGGCAAGUGAAAGGAACCACCACCAACCACACCAAAGGAUGGUCUUCACCUAUAGAAGGUGAUGUGUAUAUGUGGGAUUGAAAGGGAGUCCUCUACUAUGAACUUCUUCCAGAAAACCAAAUGAUUCAUUCCAACAAAUACUGUUCCCAAUUAGACCAAUUGAAAGCAGCACUCCUGAAAAGCAUCCAGAUUAAGUAAAAAAGAAAACACAUACUCUUCCAUGAGGAUAACACAAGACCACAUGUUUCUAGGAUGACCAGGCAAAAACUGUACAGCUUGGUCAGCAAGUUCUGAUCUAUCUGCCAUAUUCACCAGACGUUGAACCUUCAGAUUUCCAUUAUUUUAGUCUUUACAAAAUUUUCUCAAUGGAAAAAAUUUCCAUUUCUUAGAAGACUGUAAAAGGCACCUGGAACAGUUCUUUGCUUAAAAAGAUAAAAAGUUUUGGGAAGAUGGAAUUACAAAGUUGCCUGAAAAAUGGCAGAAUAUAGUGGAACAAAACUGAAUAUGUCGUUCAAUAAAGUUCUUGGUGAAAAUGAAAAAUAUGUCUUUUCUCUUUACUUGAAGAAGUGUUUUGGCCAGCCUGACAGAUUCAUCCUGAUUUCCCACUUUGUGAAUUAGCCUUUUCUUUUUCCUUAAUUUUCUUCUUUGAAAAGAAAUUCAGAAUCACAGAUUAGUUUUGUCAUCCCCACCAAGUGCCUACUUUUUAACCACCUUCUGUGUUGUGUAUACAAGAAAUAGAAAUUCAUUCUAAUUAGAAAGGGACAGUGAAAAUCCAUGUGUCCCCACUAGAAAAGCCCAAACUAAACAUUUUAAUCAAGGGAAUAAAUAUAAAAGCUCUUAUUAUUCUCUUUAGAGAAAAGGCUUCAUCAAAAGAAUCCAUAUCUGCAAAUCAAUUUCUUCUUUUUUAAAAUUUUAAGUGUAAGGCAUUAGUAAGGUAUUUAUUAGCAACUUCAGUGGCUGUUUUAGAAGCAUAUUUUGAAAACACUUGUUCUGGCAAAAAAUAGAGGUGCUGGCAUCUCUCAGAUUUAAGAUAAUUAGUUUUCAAAUUGCCAUAGCGAAAAUAGUUCAGGUGACAGAGGGAUCAGUUGUGACAUGUACUUCAAUUUUCUUUUAGACACUAGACUCAAGGACUAAUGCUAUUCUAUAUUACAGCAGUUUUGAUGCAAUUCAUAUUUUAUAAAUAUUUAUAAGAAGGCGAUCAGUGGGCUUUGAGAAAGUAGCUUCCCACCAUUUAACAUUUUAAAUAUUACUGUGUGUUUUGUUGUUAAAUUUGUAAGCCUAUCUUUAUUAAACUGACUUGUUAAAAGAAAA